rnacentral:rRNA from 1 species
GACGUAGGAGGCGAGCGUUAUCCGGAUUCACUGGGCGUAAAGCGCAUGUAGGCGGUUGCACAAGUCCGUUGUUAAAGCCCCUGGCUCAACUGGGGGAGGUCAAUGGAGACUGUGCGACUUGAGGGCAAUAGAGGCACGUGGAACUCCCGGUGUAGCGGUGGAAUGCGUAGAGAUCGGGAAGAACACCAGUGGCGAAGGCGACGUGCUGGGUUGCACCUGACGCUGAGACACGAAAGCCAGGGGAGCAAACGGG